UAGCCCGGGUCUCCUAUGUGCCUGAGCC
rnacentral:piRNA from 1 species